rnacentral:rRNA from 1 species
UACGAAGGGGGCUAGCGCUGCUCGGAAUUACUGGGCGUAAAGGGCUCGUAGGCGGCCAACUAAGUCAGACGUGAAAUCCCCAGGCUCAACCUGGGAACUGCGUCUGAUACUGGUUGGCUUGAAUCCGGGAGAGGGAUGCAGAAUUCCAGGUGUAGCGGUGAAAUGCGUAGAUAUCUGGAGGAACACCGGUGGCGAAGGCGGCAUCCUGGACCGGUAUUGACGCUGAGGCGCGAAAGCCCAGGGGAGCAAACGGG